rnacentral:rRNA from 1 species
UACGGAGGGGGCUAGCGUUGUUCGGAAUUACUGGGCGUAAAGCGCGCGUAGGCGGACCUGCAAGUCGGGGGUGAAAGCCCGAGGCUCAACCUCGGAACUGCCUUCGAUACUGCGGGUCUCGAGUCCGGGAGAGGUGAGUGGAAUUCCGAGUGUAGAGGUGAAAUUCGUAGAUAUUCGGAGGAACACCAGUGGCGAAGGCGGGCUCACUGGCUCGGUACUGACGCUGAGGUGCGAAAGCGUGGGGAGCAAACAGG